rnacentral:rRNA from 1 species
UACGAAGGGGGCUAGCGGUGUUCGGAAUUACUGGGCGUAAAGCGCACGUAGGCGGCCUUGUAAGUUGGGGGUGAAAUCCCGGGGCUCAACUCCGGAACUGCCUUCAAGACUGCAAAGCUAGAGGACGCGAGAGGUUAGCGGAAUUCCGAGUGUAGAGGUGAAAUUCGUAGAUAUUCGGAAGAACACCAGUGGCGAAGGCGGCUAACUGGCGCGUUUCUGACGCUGAGGUGCUAAAGCGUGGGGAGCAAACAGG